rnacentral:rRNA from 1 species
AUGGAAUUAAGGUUGCCUCAUAUGCUUCAUCUUUUUAAUAUUUUUCAUGAAAAUAAGGAUUCCGAUAAUUGUGCUCAAUUGCUAGAGGAAGAAUGCAUUAGGAUGUUUGGCACUAAAUAUUUGAAUGAUGAGCAUGAUUGCAAUGUUGUUAGUAUGAAUUCUUUGAAUAUUCAUAGUACUAAUGAUGACUGCACUAGUCAUGAUGAAAAUGUCUCUUAUAAGCAUGUCAACUUUUGUGGAAUACAUAGAGCUUGCAAGUACACACCAAAUAGGGAAGAUAGAUUUUGCAAGAGGCAUAAGUAUUUAGAAACUAACGGGUUGCAAGAAAGGCUAGAUGUUUGUGCUGAAAAUUUAAAAUUUCUUUGCCAUCCUUGUGAACUUUGCGAUGAACAUGAUCAUUUAAAUCUCCAAUGCAAAUUGUUUCAUGAUUGA